UGGCCAGACUCCUACGGGAGGCAGCAGUGGGGAAUAUUGCACAAUGGGGGAAACCCUGAUGCAGCGACGCCGCGUGAGUGAAGAAGUAUCUCGGUACGUAAAGCUCUAUCAGCAGGGAAGAAAAUGACGGUACCUGACCAAGAAGCCCCGGCUAACUACGCGCCAGCAGCCGCGGUAAUACGUAGGGGGCAAGCGUUAUCCGGAUUUACUGGGUGUAAAGGGAGCGUAGACGGCAGCGCAAGUCUGGAGUGAAAUGCCGGGGCCCAACCCCGGAACUGCUUUGGAAACUGUGCAGCUCGAGUGCAGGAGAGGUAAGCGGAAUUCCUAGUGUAGCGGUGAAAUGCGUAGAUAUUAGGAGGAACACCAGUGGCGAAGGCGGCUUACUGGACUGUAACUGACGUUGAGGCUCGAAAGCGUGGGGAGCAAACAGGAUUAGAUACCCUUGUAU
rnacentral:rRNA from 1 species